AUGGUGACGGUGACGGUGAUGAUCUU
rnacentral:piRNA from 1 species